UUUUCACUCCGCGCGGAAUUCCACACGGACCCGGAAACGGAGAGUGUGGAGAGAGUCUCGCUGCCCAGCAUGAAGGAAGUUAGGACAGAGGCAAAUUUGAAAGCUCAUUUAAUCCCAUCCCAACAAGUGGCUGAAUCUGGAUUUGAGUCCAUGUUGUCCGGUUGUAAAGACGUCUCUUAACCAUGACGCUACACUAACAAGGCAAAUUAUUUCUAUCCUUCAGCUAUUCAACAUCUGUAUUUAAUUUUUUCUGGAGGCCGGAAGUGUAAAAUGGAUCCAAAGCCCUGUGCUCCUUCUGGAUACUUGAGGUCCAGUGACCUCUAAAGACUCUUGUCUGAGAAAGAAGCCCUGAAGAGGAGGGAGAGGAAAGAACUGGAGUCAGGAAUGACUCUUUCUCAGAUACGACGAGGUCUUCUCUGGCCGUGUACAGACCUUUCUCCCGCUCCGUCACGUGAGUACAGAAGGCUGCCAGGCGCCCAGCUCCUUCGUCUGGCUCUGCUCUCGACUGCUUGAGAUUUCCCGGAGCUCGGGCACUCCAGCCAGGUCUUCCUCGUGAGAACCAUCAGAAGAUCUCUAAUGGAAAGAAUCCUUAAACGGCCUUGUUUGGUGAGGGGCAAAAUAAAGCACUUCCAGGAAAUUGCUAAGAUCAAAACUGCCUUCUGCCCGCUGUGGGCUCACACGACUGUCACGGCCGCUCAGGUCUAGGCGGUGUGUUGGUGACAGACCUGCACAGACUGGACAGGUGAGAUGAGAACCAAACAGGGAGACAAGGACUUGCCUUUCCAUGCAUGCUCGGGGUUUACGUCAAGCACCCCCGUCUGUUAAUGUCUUCUCCUGGUUUUCCUGCUCUUUAAGAAUCAUUAGCUAAGGGCCUUUCCUGGUACUCCAGUGGAUAACACUGGCACUCCCAAUGCGGGGGGCCCGGGUUUGAUCCCUGGUCGGGGAACUAGAUCCCACACGCUGCGCAGUGUGGCCAGUGAGUCAAGUUAGAGAAAUUCCCCCUCAAAUGUACUAAAAUUACAUUAACUCUCAUCAUAAAUUUCAAGCAAGGUAUGAGAACCCUGAACUGGUCAACCCCAGUCCGCUUAGUGGGAAGAUGUCGAAAAUGUGUUUAAAAGCAGGCAGAGUGGAUCAUCUUUUGAGUUUAAAGACAGUAACCUGGAGCCCAAUCAUGACCAGAAGCAAAUGUUAACGCAGUAAGAACCCCACUAACCCUGGUGGUCUUCCUUUCCGCUUUCAGUUCAGCGAUUUCUUUUUCUCUUUCAAGGAGCUGCUCUCUGCAUAUGUUUAGUUCUUUAGUUCUUAACUGCUGCAAAAUCCUGGAAAACAGUUAAAUAAAUAGAAGUAGAAAAGAGACCCUCAAGACUGUCCCCAGUCAAUCCUCUCCAGUCUUCACACAAAGGCACCUUGCACCUUUGUGGGAGGACCCCUCUGACCCUCCAGAGAAAGAGGGGGUCCACCCAAGACCCCCCCGGACCACCAUAACUCAGACCAGCCUUCACCCCUCUGCCCCUGACCCUGGCAUGCACACGGAUCGGGGUGGGAAGGGAACGCAACCCCACUUUCUCAAGAUCCAGGGAAGUCCAAGAUAUUUUUCUGAAUGUAAAUCCUAACACUAAGGUGGAGAUAUAUAUAUAUAUAUAUAUAUAUAUAUAUAUUUUAAAUAUUUAUUUGGCUGCACCAGGUCUUAGUUGCAGCACGGGGGAUCUUUGCUGUGGCAUGGACAUGACCAAUGGCGCCCUUUUUGUAAAGGGGCCUUCAGGGACGCUGUGCUAGCGCACCUUCUCUGCCUGAGCAGCCAUUUAUGAUGAAGCUGAAGCCUCUUAUUAGAUUCUGAAAGAAGCUUGUCAGCAGCAUCUGAUAAGCAUUUAUUACAUUUUCCAUUCAUUUUUUCUCUCUGCCUUACCUAAAAUAGGAAAAACGAAAACUUCUAAACCUCAAGAACAAGUAUGGCCAUUAUUUUAAAAGCACCAAGGAGCGACAACAUUGAGUGGCUUGUGCCCUGGUUCCCUAGGCUGUCAGCUUUCAAGUGAACCCAGAAAGGAGUCAGCAUUCUGAACCACACACAACUGCCAGACUCUAAAUGCAUCUAAAAUGCAAACACAUUCGGUGCACAAAUCCAGGGGUGCUGUAUACAUUACAGCAGUGGACUAGCGUAGACGUUGGCUAAACAUCUGUAGUAAUUAUAAUAACUAUGAACCCAGCUCAAUUCACCUCUUAACAGAUUUCUAAACGAUUUAGAGAUUUAAGUACCUGAUGAUGUUGCAUUUCUUGUAACUGCUGUUUUGCCUAAAAUAGGAGAAACAACUUACAGACUUUAAGAACAAGUAUGGUCCAUGUUUUAAAAGCACCAAGGAGCGACGACGGGCGUGGCCUGUGCCCUGGCUCCGUAGGCUGUGGCUUCCCACUGCUAUCUCUAGUGGACUCUGCACCAUCACCAGAGCUGACCCACAGGUACAGAGAAGGGCAGCGACAUGGUUCGUUACAAGGUCCCUCCCCACGGCUUCUGUUCAACAAAGGACCCAGGGGGCCUCAGGACUGUCACCAGCCAUUACUGUCAGGUGGACUCAGCGAGCAGAUUUAUAUGCAGAAACAAGCGUAUUUUAAAGGGCAUCAGCUUAUAUACACAUUGGUGGAGGAAUUUCCCAGUGUGUAAACCAAAGAUUGAGUCUGGAUUAAGCCGCUUGUGGGCUCUUUGUCGUGGCACGCAUGUGGGAUCUAAUUCCCUGACCAGGGAUCAAACCCAGCCCCCUGCACUGGAAACGCAGAGUCUCACCCACUGGACCACCAGUGAAGUCCGUGGCUCUGCUCUCUUGACUGCUCAUCUAGGAUUUCCUGGAGCUCGAUCACUUUAGCCAGGUCUUCCUUGUGGCUUAGGGAAAAAUCAGAAAGAAUCCUUAAACAGCCUUGUUUGGUGAGGGAUGAAAUAAAGCACUUCCAGGAAAUCGGUAAGGUCAAAACUGCCUUCUGCACGCAGUGGGCUCACACUCACGGCCACUCAGGAGAGAGUCAAAGAGGGGUCAGAAACCACUGCCUCAGCCCAAUGAGUCCACCACCCACCACAAGAACGGGACCACCAGAAAUCAUUCCCUCCCAAAGUGAGGGUAAAGCGAGGAAAUGAGGUAAGGCUGGGAGGCAAAGUGGGAGACGUUAAAUCCCCAAGGAACGCGAACUACACGGUGCUCAUACCUUAAAGUGGUUUCUAAGUGGCGUAUUGCUCUUUUAAUUUUCUAACCAGUAAAAAAAAAAUGUAAAUCACAUUGAAAGUUGUUACGGUCAACAUUGUUACGCAUACGUUU